GGCCGGGGCCAGCACAGGCCAAAGCAGCAGCAGCAGCAGCACAAAACAACGAAUCGAAUCGAAAUGUGCGUUUAACGACGUCGUUUUCACUUGCCGCAAACAAAUAAAAGCGGAGAAAACCAGAAAACGGACCAAAGCUGUAGUUUCCAUAAAUUUGAGAAGGUAUUGUCAGGGGUCAUGUCACUGAUAGCUGACAGUCCUACUCGAUUGGAGUUGCAUAUGCAGAUCAGCCAAGAACAUGCAGUAGGGUAUGACCUAUGGAACUUGCACUGGGGCACUGAUGUUCCCCCAGAAGGAAGAUGAAUUGGAGCUCACGUUGCUGAUACAUUGACACAUGAUAUGCAGGUAUAUUCCCCCCAUGGAGUCUGGUGUGAUAACUUGUUGGUAACAUGAUAUUACCCCCUGGCAAGUGCAUAAAAAACACACACCAAAUAUAUACACAAAAAAUAAAAAAAAAUAA